rnacentral:rRNA from 1 species
UGAUGGGGAUAACAGUUGGAAACGACUGCUAAUACCGAAUACGCUCAUGAUGAACUUUGUGAGGAAAGGUGGCCUCUGCUUGCAAGCUAUCGCAUAGAGAUGAGUCCGCGUCCCAUUAGCUAGUUGGUGGGGUAACGGCCUACCAAGGCAACGAUGGGUAGCCGAUCUGAGAGGAUGAUCGGCCACACUGGAACUGAAACACGGUCCAA